AACGACCGCUGGAGGCAGGCUAAACACAUGCAAGUUGAACGGAUUAUGGUGAUGAAGUGCAUUCGGGUAUGGAUAUCCAUAGGCAGUAGCGAACGGGUGAGUAAUGCGUGAGGACCUGCCCUGAGGAGGGGGCCAGCAGUUGGAGACGGCUUCCGAUACCCCGUAUGCAGGGAGGUAAAAGGGCCUUUAUGGUCUGCCUUUGGAUGGACUCACGUCCUAUCAGCUAGUUGGUGAGGUAACGGCUCACAAAGGCGACGACGGGUAGCCGGCCUGAGAGGGUGUGCGGCCACACUGGAACUGAGACACGGUCCAGACUCCUACGGGAGGCAGCAGUGGGGAAUUUUGGGCAAUGGGGGAGACCCUGACCCAGCGACGCCGCGUGAGGGAAGAAGGCCUUAGGGUCGUAAACUUCUUUUGCAUGGGAAGAUAAUGACGGUACUGUGCGAAUAAGUCCCGGCUAACUACGUGCCAGCAGCCGCGGUAACAC
rnacentral:rRNA from 1 species